UACAGAGGGUGCAAGCGUUGUCCGGAAUUAUUGGGCGUAAAGGGUAGGUAGGUGGUCUCAUUUGUCAGGGGUGAAAUCCUUGGGCUUAACUCAAGAAGUGCCCCUGAAACGGUGAGACUCGAGUCCUGGAGAGGUGAGUGGAAUUCCCGGUGUAGCGGUGAAAUGCGUAGAGAUCGGGAGGAACACCAGAGGCGAAGGCGGCUCACUGGACAGAUACUGACACUCAACUACGAAAGCGUGGGGAGCAAACAGG
rnacentral:rRNA from 1 species